rnacentral:lncRNA from 1 species
AAGGGUUGUGCUGCACUAUAGAAAAAUGCAAUGUGGUUGACAUUGAGUAAAAUCCAAUUUUUUCAUAGUGAAUUUUAAAAGAGUAAAUAAUAUAAGACGUUAUUUUGAAAUAUUUUAUUCUAGUGUAACCAAAAAAGUAUAUAUUUUAUUAUAGUGUGAAUACAAGAAAGAUUCCCAUUCCCGUGUCCAGGUCCUACGUUUAUUAAAGUGUUUGUUAGGUAAUCCAACUGUAAUUUUUCAAGGGAUACGUUGAAAGCUUUCUAUACGCUUUUCUCAUCGACCUGGUGAUUGAGAUACUUGAACUCUUACCAAGUUACUAUCUCAAUUUCGUAGUGACAUAAUCAACAACGUUUGGAACUUUUGCGCCAUGUUUCUCAUAUUAUUACAUCUCUAAACAUUCUUACACUUUAAUUUUUCCUAAUUCUUUCCCUUCAUUCACACUAUCACCAAACACAACCAUUAAAUUAUCAUCAUUACCCAAACACUAUUAUAUCCUACUCUAUUCGACAUUGCACCUUAAUUUCGAGAUCUCAUUAUCUCAAUGGAAGAAAUAUUUCCCAUUCCGUGAAGUUACAUUGUUAGAAAAAUUACGUAAAAAUAUGGCAUUUUCAUGUGAAAACAAACUACUAUUAUAAUUAAUUAAUUUCGCAUAUUAUGUGGUAUAUGUGUGAAAAAAAUCUAAACUAUUGUUAAAGGAAAUUAUAUCAUGAUCCAAACUCUCAAAUUAUUAAAUGGCUUUAGAAAGAUUGUGAUACUUCAAGUAUCUUUGACUAUUCCACACAACAAAUGUUUAAAAAUAUUCUUUAUCCUUAAAACUUUUAUUUUAAGUUGGUUGAAUCUGUCCUUUAUUUUUUAUUUUAUUUUUGUUUUAGUUUUUAUAUUGAAUGAAAUAGUAUUUUUUAAUCUCUCAACUAAGGCUUGAGAUUAAAUAAAAAAUAAUAAUUUGUGGAAAUGAAAACGGCAAAAAUAAUAAGAGGAACCAAUUGUAGAAAAAUAUUAUAUUCAUAGAGACUAUACAAAAAUUUAAGCCUUUGCAUCCAUCAAUGAAAUUUUAAUCGCCACUAAUAUUUGCAUAUGUUAAAAAUAACCACUAAUACAUAGUAUAUGAUAUAUGUGUUGGGUGUCACUAUUUUUGUUUUAUGUUUACAUAUCAUUAAAAAAAUAUUGACUUUGAUUUCAUUAAGAGUAAUGAUAAUUAAGUAGAAAUACAACUUCUAUCAUACAAUCAUUAAAUCAUUUUUUUUUAAAACCCUUUACAAAACUGAUGUUUAAUUAACAACUGUUUGUAAAUGGUAAAUUUCUAACUGUCAUCAUUAUUGUUUCAUCAAUUCAAACCAUUAUAGUAAACGUUCUCACUUCUCAUUGAAUCAAAUGUAGUGGACAAAUGAGGGAAAGUUCCAACACACAUAAAAUUGGUUUAGAUCUAGAGUUCAUUUAGACCUUCAAUGUUGAUCCUUGGCCAACAACAAACAGCUCAAAACCAAAACUGAAGUUAAUUAACUCCAUUCUUGUUUCGCUUGAGUCAACUUAACAAAUUGAGCAUAAGUGUUUUUUGAGCAAGUUGAGCAUAAGUGUUUUUUCAAAUGCACAAGUGGAGCACAAGUUAUUCCAAUUAGAACUCACUCAACUCAGCUAAUUAUUCAGUAAUAAUACUAACAAUAUUCCGCUGGUUAAAUUAUAGAUGGUCCCUUCCAAAAAAUCAAUAAAUAAUUUAACCAAAAAUCAAUAAAUAUGAAUACUAACAAUACUAACAAUAUUCCGCUGGUUAAACCCUAACCUAACAAAAUCAAUAAAUAUGAUGGUCCCUUCCAAAAAUAUGCAUCGAUACCAACUAUGGAAAUGGAAGAUCCACGCAAUGCAUGAGCAAAGCAGACAUGAGAAAUUAAAACUGAAAGGGACCGAUGGUACGGACUACGGAGAUUUUUUUUGGGACGAAGACACUUGUUUUCUUUUUCAUUUUUUCUAUUUUUCUUUUCUUUUCCUAUUACAUUACUAAUAAUAUCUCUUAUUUAAUUUUUCUUAUUUUUAAGUGUUAAAUAUAUUUUUAUUCUCUGACUUAUGAAUUUAAAUUUUCAAAAAAAAAACAUUUGAAUUUAAACUGGUCUUUGAUUUUUUUUAUAGAUUUAAAAAAAGCCUAUAUGUUUUAAUCAAGCUUAUGAAGUGAGUUAUUAAAAAAAAAAAAACUUAUGAAGUGAGAAUUCUAUUACCCACUCAUCAACCAACGAAAAAUUAUAGUUAGGUGUAGAUUGUACACGCAGACUUUUUCCAUUAAAUUUAGUCCUUCAAAUAUCUUUUUAAUUAUUUUUAGUUCUUCUCUUUAUCUUCCCUUCACUUUCUCAACUAUGGAUGGCACCCGUGCAGAGUGGGGCGGGGAGUUCCCUUCUCACUUAUCGUCUCCACAUCUCUCUUUAGUCCACGCACUAUCCUCAUCCUCUAUGGCGGAGUGAAUUUGUACCCCACUCUCAUUCUCCAUCUCUUAACGAUUCCCAUGACCCCCAACAUGUUAUUAGAAAUUUAAAUUAAAUAUAUUAAAUACAUAAGUUAAUUUAAUAAAAUUAAAAACCACAAGUGAUUAUGCAACUACACCAAAUACAAUUCAAAUUUGUGUAUAAAUAACAUUAAAUAAAAUUCAUCACACGAUAUGUGAAGUCUACAAAAUAAAUAAUUUGAAGUGUAAUACAAUGUUCAACUCAUUAAAAAUGUAAAAUCUAACACUUAAAAUAUUUUAUCGAGCAUUCAACUCAUCCAAAAUGUACAGUCUUCAUCCUAAGUAAUUUAAUAUUUGAAAGUGCGCGUGUUAUUGUAUUUUUACUAAUUAUAUGUAGCUGAAACCCUAUAAGGUAGGGGGAGCAAUCCUAUCCUCGUCCCCAAAUUCUUUUCAAGAAGAUUUUUCUUCCCGUCUCCAUUCCUGGAGGAAAUUUUUCUCAAGCUGCACUAACCCAAAAAUGAGGUAAAAAGAGAAAAGAAAUAAACAAAUAAUAUAAUGUAUAUAUAUAUAUAUAUAUUUGUAUAUGUGUGUGAUAUAAUAAUAAUGAUAUAUAUAUAUAUAAUAAGAAAAAAAUGUAAAAAUGAGAUAAAAAAAAGUUGGUGUGAAUGAUGAAUAUUACUCGAAUUUUUUAAGAAGAUGACUACAUAAGAUUAGGUAAUGGAGCGUCAGUGCCUAUAUCAACCACAAAUCACAUAUAGUUAAUUUGAGAAUGAUUUAUUAACAUAACAAAUCAAAUCCUCACCUACCACUACACGCACACCCUUUUCAUCAUCACCCUCUCUUCCUCACCAAACCCUCUUUCUCAACCCACCAUGCCGCCCAGAACAAAAAAAAAAUCAAACUAUAUUCCUAUGUUAUAUUGAUUCCAUUGAUGCAUUCAUACUCGUCACUCUCUAUACCAACAUUAUGAUAUGAUUACUACCAAACUAGAAAUUAUGAUAUGACUACCUCCUUUAGAAACCAUAACUGCCAACAAAGUCUCUACCAUUUAAUACUUUUAUCAAAAAUUUAAUAAUUUGCAUUAAAGUAUCUUUACAACUGAUAGUCAUGAGACUAAUUCUCUCACGAAAAGACAUUGAAAUCAGUCAAAUCACAUUUUAUGGAUAUGUCUAUUCCAAAUUCUUCAUACACAUAGAUAGACUUUGUAUCAAAAAAUUGAUCUUCCAUUCUUUUAGUAGUUAAGAUUAUUUGAUGAAUACUGAUUAUAUUAUACCACUAUAUAUACAUUCUAUUUCUUGAAGAACACAACACACCUUAAAAAAUUGAAAAAUAAAAUCCCCAUUAAUUUAUAUCUGAUUGACUUGAUAAUUGAAGUACUAUCAAAUUAAAGGAUGAUCAAGUUUUUUUUUGGACUACCAAAUUAAAUUAGUGUAACUUAUUUGGUUUAUACCUUUUGAAACCAAAAUGUUCAUUUAAUUAUUUAUAAUAUAUUUGUAGCACAAAUUGUUUAUAAUAUAUAACAUUGGAAAUUGAUACAAAAAGAUUAAUCUGCUUAAGAUAUACCUAUAAUAUUGAUCGUGGCUAAUAUAAUUGACUAUAUAUCCAUGAAACAUGAAGAAUAGUUGAAGUUCUAAAAUGUUUCCCAUUACUUCACGAAAAAAUCAUAACUAGUUUUGUUUUGAUACCAGCAGUUUCAGUACAAUUUAAAAUUUUAUCCAGAGUAAAAUAUGAUAAAUAAUAUCAUAACGUGUUUUCAAAUUUAAUGCAGAUGGAGGUCGAUGAGUUCAAAAUUGGAGGGGUUGUUAAAAUAGUUCCGAAGGCGUGGAGUGUGGAAAAUUCAAUUUGUUGGCGCAAAGGUCAGAAACCAACAAUUAUUUAGCAUACAUACUCCUUCUAGGAAUCAAGUUUUGAGGCUUCUAAGAAAAAGGAAUCAAGUUCAGUGCCAAGCUGAAGUUUAAAGUAGAUAUAUAGACUUUAUUUUUUUUGGUGAAUAGAUUUUUAGAGUUAAUAUUUACACCACAUAUUAAGGUAGUGAACAGUAGAACACCUCAUAACAAUAUUGGCAUGCAUGGCUCAUUUGUGCUUUGAUUUUGUUUUAAACACCUCAUAACAAUAACCACCAUGUUUCCUUUUUUUUUGGGUCAAAACCACCAUGUUUCCUUUGUGUCUAUCACUACUACCUAGUUUGUGCUAUAAAUGGAAAGCAAUGGUGAAGUUGUAUCUCGUUGAAAUUAUAUAAAAGGAUUAGUUUAUAGAGUGUAUUAAUCUUUGCCCUUCCAUAACAAUAACUUUGGGCAAAUGAGUGAGUAACAAAGGAAUCAACCGUAGGUCCGUAGCAACAUAAGAAAAAUAAAAGAGGCUAAAACAAAUUAAAUAUUAAUAUAACAGCCUAGUGGAGAAAACAAAGAGAGACGUGCUGGUACAUAUAUAUAUAUAUAAUGCACAUUUUCACCAAGACUGAGUAUACAAAUAACUUGAAUUUAAAAAAAUAUACAAAAACCUUAAUCACUCUACUCUAUUUUCUCUCCUCUACACAACGUGCAAACCUUCAAACAUAAAAUAUUCACACCAACAUAUACACAACACAAGGACAAUUUAAUUUGGUGGAACAUUAUAUUUAUGAAGGCACGUUUUGUUGAUAUAUAAAUUAUAGUAGUAUUAAUUUAUCAAGGCACCUAACUUUUACACCAUUUUUUUGACCGACAUCUACAUCACCAUCUCUAAUACAAUGUACAAGCACUCUCUUAAAUAACACAACAACCCCCUUUCACCAUAUCUCUUCCCCUUCCUAAUUACAAAUAUGAAGAGUUCUAAAAAACUUAACCAACAAAAAAACAAAGAGACUAAACCAAAAUAAGAGUAUAGUCCAAAAUGGAAUUGAAACAAUCUUCUUAAUUUGUUCACAAACUUAAAAUUCAGAACAAUGGGUAUAUUGACAUGGCACAUUUAUGCUUUAACUUAGAUUUAGAAGGGUGGUGUUGGGAAAUGCUAAUGAUCUCCCCGGUGAGAAGAACAAGAAGGGCUCCAAGGUGUCAUAUCCAUAGGGUAACUCCCCAACACUCUCAAGAAAGAAGUGAACUCUUGAACCUCAGCAAGUGCAUUUUGGGCCCUAACCUCAGCCAAAGAGGCAUCAAAAUCAAUAUAGAACAAGUACUCAAAGUGUUUCGCUGUACCCUCACUCUCACCAUCAACCACCCUAAUCGGACGGCUACGAUGAGGCCUUGACUCAAUCUUGGUCAAACUUAUGUUCCUAAACGCAAAAGCAGAUAACACUUUGAAUAGCACCGAAGUUCCCUUAUCAUGCGCGAACACGAUGCUCGUCUUGAACGGACGAUCCGUUCUCGGGAUAAUGGGUUCUCGGGCCAACAUCACGAACCGGGUCACGUUAUUCGGGUCAUCUUGGAUCCCAUCGGCGAGGACCUGGAGGCCGUAGAGUUCUGCGGCGCGUGCACUCGCGACUGCGGCAGUGUCACGGAGGUUGUUGGCGGCGAUAAACUCGGCUGCGCCGGCGGUGUCGUCGACGGCCUCACGCGCCACGUUGAGGCCGAGUUUUGUUAGCGUGUGCUCGCACUGCGCGAGUGCCUGAGGAUGCGAGAUCACGCGCGUGAGAUACUCCUUCCGGACUCCAGGGAGGGCGAGGAGGCAGUGGUGGACUGGAAGCUGGACCUCGCCGACGAUGUGGAGGCGGUGGCGGAGGAGGAGGUCGUAGUUCCGGUGGAUCGAUCCGCCGAGGGAAUUCUCCACUGGAAGAACUGCGCGAUCGGCGAUCCAGAGCUCCACCGAUUGGAACGCUACCUCGAACUGGUCGCACGGGAUCGCGUCGCUGUUUGGAUAGGCUUUUCCGGCGGCCGCCUCGGAGUACGCACCGGGGACUCCCUGGUACGCCACGCGCAGCUGGGACCCAUGCAGCGGCGCCGGAGAUAGGUCGGAGAUUGUCAGCGGCGACCGGAUGAGCUUCGUGUUGGCGCCGUCGGUUUUUUUACCGAUAGGGACGAGUUUCAGAUCCGCCAUGGCAGGGUUGUGACCGUUGACGGCGCCGACGUGGUCGUUGCCAGCGGCGGCCGGAGUUUCUUCCUGUGAAACGACCUUGCUGGCUAAGAUGGCGCACGAGCUUUGCCAAUCGGCUCGGCUCGAGCCGAUUCCUUGAGCGUAACUCGCGGGUUCAAACCCGUACCCGCAUUUAACCAUAAACCGGUUCGGAGUGACCCGAGUAAAAGAGGGACGCGCCCGGUUCAGGUAGUUAAGAGAAUUGGAGUGCGGUGGUGGAGUGAGUGUCUGCAUAUUAGAGGACUUAAAAUGAAUUAAGAAGAAAGAGUAGGGACUUAAAGUAGGAAAUGAAUAAUCUAAUUUGGUUUGAGAUGAUGAUUCAACUUUGAAGCUCAAGCUUGGUGUUCUCUUUGAAGAAGGGAACCUCAAGCUGAGAAAAGAAAGAAAGGGGUGAAAGGGGUUUAUAUAGUGGUUGGUGAAUGCAAGUGGGUUAUGGUUUUUGAGGAGUAAAUGGGACAUGUCAAGUCUGAGGGGAUGGUGUGUGCGUGAAGGUGGUUCGGUCAAUCCCACACCUACCACCUCUUCGCUAAAUUAUUUAUUUUAUUUUUUAUUUAUUUCACAUUUGUUCCUGGUGUUUAAUUGCUUUUUUAUGACUAAGAUUAAUUUAUUUGAAAGUUAUUUUAUAUUUUUUAAAUUGUUAAAGGUUAGCGUUCAAUGCAUACAUGUAGUCACAACAAAAUUUCUUAGAAAUAAGGUUGGUUGUCUUUAUUUGAUCGAUGGAGAAAAACGCUACAAAACUCCAAAUACAAAAAAAGCACCCUUUUCCAAUUGUGCUUGAGGAUCUUGAUUUCUUUGUCAGUGUAAAAUAUUCAAAAUCUCACAAAAAUGGAGGUUUUCAUUAAUAUACACCAUUUUUAGAGAGGUAUAAUUUGCACCACUGCAUAAAAUGGUUAAGCAGGUCAACAUAUAUUUUUUAUAUAUCAUUAAAAAUUUGUUAUAUGUUAAUUAAAAAAAAUGGAUGUGUUAACCUGUUAUGACAGGUUAAAGCAGGUGGUGUAAAAUUACACCACUGUGGUGCACAUUAGAGGUUAUAUAAAAUGUAAGUGUUUUAAAGAAUAUUAACUGCUUGUAUGCCAAAACUUAUACUUUAAUAUUUUAGGAAGUACUUCUAUAAUUUUUUUUUUUUUGAGAUUAAAGGAAGUACUUCUAUAAAAUCAAUUUACUAACUAUAUUGUGAUAACAUACAAUAUUGGCACAGACGCACAGUCAAUGCUAGCUGGAGGAAAUAUGUUUGGAAAUAGGUAAGUUUGUGCACAAUUAUUUCAUAUGAUUGUGUUCCUUGAAUUGAAAUAAUGAAUCUUUGUUUGCAUUGUGAUUGGGUAGUAAGGAAAUUUUAUGUGCAUAGGUGUUCUUCCAAAAUCUGAAUUGAUUAAUUCUCUCGAUUUUCAGUCAUGAUGGAUGGUUUUGAGAGAAUCUUUCACAACAGUAGUGUGAUUUUAGCAUUAUGGGAGAGUACCUGUAAAGACACUCUGAUACUCAAGUUAAAAUGAAAACAUAGAGAGUAACUCAAAGUUACAUCAGAACAAUGAGUUAGCAAAAUGAGCAAUGCUUAUAUAAAUGUACGAUAAAAUUUAUAGAUAUGGUAAGAGUCACAUUCAAGACGUUAGGCUUUAAUAAAGUCUAUGUGCAUAACUUUCGAGAUGAUGACUAUAGUGUUCUGGAAUGAACAAUGACAACGGUGAUAGGCCCCAAAACCCCAGAGGAAGUAGGGUAUGAUAAUAACAUAUUCAUUUAUGUAAUAAAGGCCAAAAAGUCUCUUCUCACGGUACAAGUGUUCCAUUUUGUAGGGGUACAUAAAACUAAGCUAAUUGGGCUGGCAGGGUCUCGCUAUUAUCGACACAGCAGCCUUACAUUCAUUUUCCUGCCUUAUGGCGGUCAUUCUCUACCCUUCAAGUGUUGAUAACUGCUCAUCGCUCUUAGUCGCCCUAAGCUUGUAGGUUUGCGCGCGAAACGUUCCACGUUUUAAAGGCAUUUGCGUGGUGCGACUUCAUGCUAAGGGAUGUGCGGAACUAGAUUAAGGCUCAAGUUUGUCGUCCUCAAGUGUAUCUUUUCGUGGCAGCUCUAUGGGGAAUUUGGAGAUGGAGAAAUGAUAUUGUGUUGGGUGAUAACAGUUGGACAACUAUGAGCAUUGUGAACUGGACUCGCACAAAGAAGAAUGACUACUAACUUUACCAAGCUAGUAGGCGUCUCCGAGGGAUUGGUGAAAAGCGUGCUAGGUGGACAGCUCCGUCAGUUGGGAACCUCAAGCUUAAUGCCGAUGGUUCUUAUGACCUGCAGCAGAUGAGGAUUAGAAUGGGAGGGAUUGUUAGAAACAAUUUUGGAGACUUUAUGACUGGCUUUUAUGCUGGAAGUGAUGGAGGGAUCCUUUUAAGGCAGAACUUAGUGCCUUAGUUCACAGACUCAAUAUCUUAUGAGAUGCAAACAUUAGACGCGCAACCUGUGAGGUGGAUUGCCUCGAGAUUUUGAAAACUUUGGCUGGGAAUAGGUACCAGUUUCAUGAGUUAUUAUUUUCAUAUUUUCUAGACCUCCGGAAACUCCUAGACUGUGAUUGGAGCAUUGGCCCGUGUCACACAUCUAGGGAUGCUAAUGAGGCAGUGGAUUGCCUCAUUGGUUUCGGGGCCAGGUUGCAAUAUCACCUCACCCGUCAUGAGGCUCCACCUUCUUAGUUUAUUCCUAUCUUUGCUAGAGAUUUGUUAGCUUGAGGUCUUUUAGUUGUUCUUUUACAUUUCCGAUGUAAAAAAUAAAGUAUACAAACUUUUAUAAUAUUAAUCAAUUUUUCAUCUAAUAAUGGUAUAUAAAAAAACUACCCCAUAUGCCUAGCAGCACUUACCUAUAAAAUGUGUCACGUUUAGCACGAUUAAGUUGAUCUCAAAUGAGGGAUCAGGGACGAGUGAGUUGUGUUAUAGCCAUUAUUUUUUUAAUCAAUUAUUGAAAUUAUAACUAAAUAUAUGCACAUUGCCUGUCAAAUAAAAAAAAUGCACAUUGCACAUGUGUCACAAAUUUUAAGAUAAUUAAAAUUCUGACAUAGUGGAUUUCGUUAUUAACAAUUAUAACACUACACUUUACUAUCUACCGGAUCCAAUGCAAUGGUAGAUAUACAUGUUUGUUUGUUUUUGUUUAAUGGCAUGUCGUCGUGUCAUCCAACAAUAUUAUUAAUCUUAAUCACUAUCCAUCUAUAAUAUACUGAUCAAUUUAGAGUAAUCUGAUCCCACCUGAUGUAAGAAUUACUGCUUAAAAAAAUUACAAACACCACGUGAAUUAGCCUCAAUUACUUGAUGCACUAACUGUGAGGUGAAAGAUUAAGAGAGAUACUUUAGCUAUGACAAAUAAAAAUAACAUCAAAGAAUGAAAUUAUUUGAGGUGCUUAUUUAAUACACACAACGUACUAUAUUAAAAGCAUUAUAGUGUUUUAUUUAUGAUUUAUGGAAUACUUAACUUAUUUAUGAGAGUGUCCUGCUGUCUCCCAAAUUUUCUUUUUUCUUUAUGAAAUCUAUAAAAAAAAAUUAUCAGAGAACUAGAGUUGGAUUUUUUUUGAGGAAUCGGAAUUUUAGAAUAGUGAAGUUUUGAGUAAAUUAAUCAAAUUAGUUGAAUAUAAUAUAUAUAUAUAUAUAUAUAUAUAUAUAAUAACCUGAUAGCCUAACUUAUAUGAAAAUAAGCUGACAUAUGCUAAUUAUAAGCUAUGAGAACUAAAACAAAUAGGGUUAAAAUAUAUAACCGUCCCUGAACUUUGAGCGAAAUCUGAAAACCGUCCCUCGCCGGAAAAUUAUCUGAAAUCCGUCCUCGUACUAUCAAAAACAAAUUUGACCCAUCCCUCCGGCCGCCUUAGCUCCGGCAAGAUCCAUUUUUUAUUUUUACCCAUCCCUGAACUUUGAGCGAAAUCUGAAAACCGUCAUUUUUUAUUUUUAUUUUUUAAUUAAAAUUCCCUAAUUUCUAAGAAUUAAAUCUAAUACCCUUUAAUCUAAGCCUGAAUUCCCAAUUUAACCACAAAUCCCUUAAUCUAAUCCUAACUCAUCCCGGUUUAACCACAAUUCCCAAGUUCUCUCUCCUUCAGACCUUGUUUCUCUUCUCUUCUUCUUUCUUCAUCUUAAUCUUCAUCUCAUUUCCUCCACCAACAACAACAUCGUCUUCUUCUCGUUGUUAGAAAAAAUUUGCAAUUUUAAUUCUUAGAAAUUCGGGAAUUUUCAGAUUUCACUAAAAGUUUAGAUUUCAAAUUAGGGAAUUUUCAAAUUAGGUAGAUUUAAUUCUUAGAAAUUAGGGAAUUUUAAUUUUAAAAAAUAAAAAUAAAAAAAUGGCUCUUGCCGGAGCUAAGGCGGCCGGAGGGAUUGGUCAAAUUUGUUUUUGAUAGUACGAGGACGGAUUUCAGAUAAUUUUCUGGCGAGGGACGGUUUUUAGAUUUCGUUCAAAAUUCAAGGACUGUUAUAUAUUUUAACCCAAACAAAUAUAUAACAAGAUUAGGAGUAAUUUGUAGCUAGGGACAAAAGUAGAUUAGGUCAGGCCUAAGUCAGGCGAUGUAGGUCAUUUUUUAAGUUUUAAAUUGACCUAUAGGCCUAAAUAUACUAAUAUAUAUAUAUAUAUAUAUAUAUAUAUAUAUAUAUAUAUGAGCUUAAAUAUUUAUACACAUUAAUAUGUUUAAGUCAAUAACUAAGUUAAUAAGAACAUAAUUUUAAGAUAUUAUUGUUCAAGCAAAUUCUCCAAAGCCAAACUCGCCCAGGAACAUUUAUAUCACGAAAUAUUGUUUUUUAUUCUCAAUACUCAGAAUUCAAAAUCUCUCAAGUAUAUCAUCUAAAUCAACCACCGGAGUUCAUUUAUACGUAAUUCAACUGCAACUACUCAACUUGUCUCUGCAUAUGAAGGGGAUAGUUUUUUUUUCCUUCAAUAGUAGUAGGAAGGAGACAAGUUAAUUAAAAAAAAUCCUUUAGAAAUGAAUCAUUUGUCUAAAUAUAUAGUUUGAUUAAAACUUCCUCAUACUUAUAUUAUGUUGACAGGUUAGAGGGGAAAAAACUCCCCAAAAGUUGUUAGUUUAUGAAUUAAGAUUAGAAUGUACUUUAAAACAAAUCCACAUUAGAUAUAGUAUUAUUUACUUUAGAGAUAAUUUUAAUUUAUAUCCACCAAAGUAAAACAAUUUUCAUGAAUCAUAUGCACUGAGUUUAAUUAUUUCUACAGCAAGUACAAUGGUAGAGGGUUGCAUUCUCAAUGGGCUUCUAUAGCUACAUCAUUUAUGGGCCUCAAGUUACUAUGCCAAUUAUAAUUAGUUAUUAUUAUUUCUAUGUUUAUUUCUAGUUUAUUAUUUAGAUCAUGUUCUAGAAUAUUCUAUUUUCUAUGAUGGUGCCACAUGUAAGGUCACCUUUCAUCCCUUAGAGUGGAUAGUUAGUAUAAGUUGUAUGAAUUCCAUUAUGAAAGAUCAACAAGAAAAUUGACAAAGUUUUAUCUUAUCUUCUUUUCUUAGUUUUCUUUUGAUUUUCUUCCUUUGAUUUUACUUGGUAGAGUUUCUCUCUACCAAUUUGGUGCUUUCAUUAUCUAUCUCUUUCCUCCAUUACAUCAUGGUGCUCAGCUAUGAUGUGUUAUCAACCAUCCUUGCAGCUCAACAUGAUCCCAGAUCCAUUUUCUACACCCACUCUUCACCUUCCUACCCCGCCAUUAAUGGUGGAUUUUCUGGGCACAUAUCUGCAGAUCCUUGGUUCAUGGACCAAGUAGCAUACCAGCAUACCUAACCACCAACAAUCCCACCACAACCACCACCUCUUUCGUACUACCAGAAUGGAUCUGCUGAACCUGUCCCUGUUUCACCUCAAUAUUCAUCCUACCCACAAAAUUACCUGCCCACUUUCCCACACCAUUCUUCUCCUCCCCAUCGAACUUACACACAACACCACAACCCAACCAGGCCCAAUCCAAAAUCUGCCCCAACAUUCACCCAGAAACAGAAUCCUACGUUCACAAUGUUCAGCGGAGAACACCCAGACUUAUGGCUCUUGAAUGUUGAGCUCUAUUUCAUGUUCCACCCAUACCCACUUGAAAUACGUUUUCACAUUAUUGCCAUGUAUUUAGAGGGGAAAGCUCUAACAUGGUUCAGAUUGUGGGAACACCAGCUGGAUUCAUGGGAUAAAUUCAGAGAAGUGUUCACAUUUCAGUUCGGAAACCCCAUAUCUGAACAUUGGGAGGAGUCAAGUGCGCCUGUUCUUGACAGCACAACAGUGGUUGUGUCUUCUGGCCAAUCGAAGCAUCAUUUUCCGCAGCCAUCUACAAACCUAACAGAAGCUGAAUUUGAUGAAUUUGAUGACGGUUCCAGCCACGAGGAGGACAACCUAUUGGAGAAUGCAGAACAGGUUCAGAAUCUAGAAGAUCCUAACCAUCUGGAUGAAUUAUGCUUUGAAGAUAUAUCAGAAGUUUUGUCUGAUGGUCUAUCAAUACAAAUUUCUACCCAGGAGUGUCCUCUAUCUGACAAGAUAAACAAUGGUAUUAUCAAUGAUCUGCACUGUGAAUCAAUUUUCUAUAAAACUGUCUUGGAUUUGAAGACUACACAGUACAUGUUUGAUAAAAUGGAUGCCAAGCAAAACUUUGAACACAAUGCUCACAAUUUUGAUAAUGUAUUUUUGACAUUGGCAAUUGCUCGUUCUGCAUUUCGUUCACAGUUUAUAGGCUCUGAAUCUGCACUAUCUGGCCUACAUGGAUUUGUUAUACAAUUGUUUGAUCCUGGAAUUCUUGUUGCAAGGUUUAUUUUCUCACUGGCUAAGCUUCAAAUACUUGGUUUAAUUCAGAAAUUGUUUGACCCUGGGAUUCCUUUGAUAACAUAUGGUUCUGUCUCUACCUGGCUUGAUUCUACUAUGUUGCCCCUGGACACGGGAGACUUUCCAUGUUCCCAUUCACACACACUUGAGUUAUUUUCAUCGGGUGCACUCACACAUAUUAACAGCAUCAGUGUCAUCUCCAGUGUUUCAAUUUUUGGGGAGUAUUUUUGUUCCUACUACAAAAAUGUUACACCAAUCAGGAUCAUCAACAACAUCUAUUAUAGAGGACAACAAACCUCAUGGAGUCUUAAGGCACGUUCAGCCAGCACACUAUCUACACUCUUUGCUGUCAUGUUCUCACAAGCCACCAUUGAUCAGUUUGGUCAUCGGUUUACCUCACCAGCACGACAAGAUAGGAUCAGUAACAGCAUAUUUAGUGCAUAUUAUAUAAUCCAAAGGAGAUUACUGUAUUAUGAGAAAAGUUUAUCCAUAUCUUUUCUUCCUGGACAUGUUCAAGGUCUUGGUGUUGCUCUUGUGGGACAACUUUAUCAACCAUCUGAGCUCCUUGACCACCAAUGCUAUUGUUGUCCUUCACCAACAGUCACCAACCUGAUCAGAAACAAUAUGCUACAUUUGAAUCUUUUUAUUUCUGGGAUAGAAGGAAGGGUUGCAUAUGUCAGGGUGGUUGAAGAGACAAGCAAGUUCGGCUUAAGGGAGUGGGAACUAGUUCAACAUUCACAAGAGGGUUAUUUUUUCUCUCAUGUUCAACUAACACAUACAAAGAUACAACUGGGAUGGAUGCUAUCUUGGGUCUUUCAAACAGCUGUUUAUGAGCUUCAGGCCAAGUGCUCGACUCCAAUGCAUCAGCCAAUGAGAUUCACCAUUGAGACGAGAGUUUUGCUAUUCACCAAAUCCAAAGAAGUCUCUCUUGCAGCUAUCAUAGACAAGGUCCCAUCCAAAGCUGCAUUGGAACACAUUUUGGGGCUCUUGGGGACUGCAACAGUAGCACAAUUAAUUGUUACUUCUGUGCUUCUUCAGGGACAUCCACAUCCACAAUGUGUAUCAUUUUCCCCACCAAUGGACAGACAAGCCUUGCAUAACACUGUGUUCACAAGGGGUCAAACGAAGCUUGCUCACCACACUCAACAUCCUUUCAAUUGGGUUUUGCUUAUAUUGGGCUGGACUUAUGAGACUCCCCUAUGGCCACCACUUGAAUUGUCUUUCCAACAAGGCUUAAUAGUGUGGCUAGGCUUCCCCAUCGGCCAUGGAAUUAAAUGGCGUGAACUUCUUGCUUCAUGGGACAGCACACAAGGCAUUUUUUUCUACUAGGAUGGGAAUUGUCGCUACACACCACAUCAAGUCACUCUAUUGGCCCUUCAUGCUACCUUGAGGCUUCCAUUAAAAAUGACAGUUUCUUAUUUUCAUGGACUUGACCUCAUUGACAGUACUCUCCUAGCAUGGAUCUUUCUUGUUGCAUGGCUAGCUCACUUUUCCAUCCUUGAGGACAAGGAUGUUUUCAAGGGAUGGUAAUGGUAGAGGGUUGCAUUCUCAAUGGGCUUCUAUAGCUACAUCAUUUAUGGGCCUCAAGUUACUAUGCCAAUUAUAAUUAGUUAUUAUUAUUUCUAUGUUUAUUUCUAGUUUAUUAUUUAGAUCAUGUUCUAGAAUAUUCUAUUUUCUAUGAUGGUGCCACAUGUAAGGUCACCUUUCAUCCCUUAGAGUGGAUAGUUAGUAUAAGUUGUAUGAAUUCCAUUAUGAAAGAUCAACAAGAAAAUUGACAAAGUUUUAUCUUAUCUUCUUUUCUUAGUUUUCUUUUGAUUUUCUUCCUUUGAUUUUACUUGGUAGAGUUUCUCUCUACCAUACAACAAUCAACAAACUUAUAAAUAGCAUGCGGCAAUAGCUAAUCAAUACUUAUUCUUCGACAAAUUAAACAUCAAUAAGUUUCAAAAAUUAUGAUAGUUGAAACAUCAAAACCUUGAAAUAAACUAACUAGCUUCUAUGCCCCUAUAACAUCAAGGGUUGAGAAUUACUAAUAUAAAAGGAAAUUCAGUUUUUUUCAAUGUAUUUAAUUGCUUCCGCAAUUUUGAGCACUAAGAUAUCUGUUUUAGCUAGAACAAUCAUAUGGCUAAGUUGAUUUACACAUACGUGAGAAAAUGAAAUUCAAUUAAAACUUAAAACAGUAACUAUAAAAUAUCUUUUCCGAAAAACAGUUCGUCAAUUCUUACCACACAUUACAAGAUAUCAAUUCUUUUCAUUUACUAAGUAUGUUAUGUGUUCCAAUCUUGUAGAUCAUGUAUGUAUUAAACACCUAUAACUUCAAAAUCUGAAGGCUUUUAGUUGGUCGAAACUAGUACUAUAGUAGUAGUAGUAACAAUCAAUGAUGAUACACCACACAAUAAUAUUGUUGAAAUCAGCAAGAACCGGUAGUUUGAUUAAGACGACACUGUCCGAGGAAGAAACGAUGUUCCGGAAAAUGAUACUAAGACAGAGGCAGGCUUAAAUUAAUGUAGGCAUUUGUCCCCCAUUUUUGUAGACAUUCAUUCAUUUUUUUUAUGUUCAAUAUUUUUAAAGCCCAACACUAGACCUCAGAAAUGAUCGAGGAAAAGAGACACCUUGGAUAUUUAUUUGUCAAAGGAAACUAAGAAAUUAGGACAAGAUUCCAAUAUAUGAUAUCUUAGUGGACUACAAAGACUCAAGUUGGCAAAGAAAAUCUAUGGGGCAUAUCAGGUGAGAUAAUUUUUUUAUUGUGAGAGAUGAGAGUAUCAAUUAUUGGGUGUUGGAUCAAAAUCAACGAUUCAGAUUAAAAAUUCCAUUCAGUCUCACAUGCCUCUCUUCAUCUAUUUACCGUCUUCGUAUGACACCCACAUCGUCCAGGAAAGCUGUGACCACCAUGACACCAUCUGCAUCUGUCCUCCACCUUCUCUUCAAAGAAUAGUUCAAAAUAUUUGAAAGAGAAGAUGAAUUAACUGUUUAAUCUUUUCCAAUUACACCCAAUAAAAUCAAAGUAAAAAAUCCCUAAACCAAACAACACAACCAUUAAUAAAUCAAGUUAAAUUAUCAUGUGGUUUCUUUUCGUUCCCAUUAGAGGGUGAUGCCUCCUCAACGUGAGUGGGUGGGAAGGAUUGAAACGGUGAUGGGUGACUAUCGAGCGCACAAGUUCGUUGUUGCUUGCGAAACAGCCAUGGCGUGCAGGAAGCUGGAAAUCGUAUGGGCAAGAGAAGGAGAAGAACCGGGAGACGCUACCUAACCAUCUUCUCGUGCGCGUGAGGUUUUGAGAGGGUUACCGGAAAGUGGAACGAUUGGGAAACAGGGUCACGUGACUCUUUUAAUUACAAAUUAAAUAUGAAAUCCUUCAAAUUAAUCUAAUGUUUGAGCUACAAAUAUUCACAUCAUUUUAGGGCUAUGUCUCUGUAAAAAAAAAUUUAUUCGCAAGACUCAAACUAACCUGAGACCAUUCAGAAGAAGAAUUAGGCAUGUGCCAUAUACCAACCACUAAUUGGUCAAAAUCUCAUAUUAUCUAACAGAAAUGGAGUAAUUUGUGAUUAAGACGAGGAUGCAUGCAUGAGUGGCCAUGCUAUUUACACCACAUUGACAGGUCUUUGCAAAUUAGACCCCUUCAUAACAUAUUAACAUAUCAGAAAAAAAAAGUAAAAUAGAAAAGAAAUAAAAGUAUUGAAUAAAAAACCAAAUUCACUUGAACAAAUCAAAUUCAGUAACAACAUAUCAGCUCUUCUAAUUUAAAAAUAUAAAAAUGAAUUCACUUUGAAGGGCUUUAGCUGCCUCUCUAGGCUCCUUCAACUUAGAAAGUGGGCAUGGGUUGGCGUGAGUGGUGGUGGAUGGGAAGAACCUCCCAAACUUCUCCUGGUGCGGUGAGGGGAGAGCACAUAGGAGAGAAAGAGGUGGUGGCCAAGGUUUUGAAAGAGGAAAGAUGGGAGAGGUUAGAGUUUUUUAUUCUUUGAUGAAUAUUUACAGGGGCUAAAACUAAUGCCAAAAUGUCCACGUGGGCGUCAGGUGACUAGGCUCACCCCACGAACGGUUGACUAGUCAAAAUUGAUACACAUCAUAAAUUGAAUUGAAAACAGCUUAAUUAAGCGCUUAUGACCAUAAGCGCUUAUUCAUAAGUUAUUUUAAAUUUUUUAUUGAAAUAAAUUAAAAAUAAAUUAUACAUAAGCAUAAGCUGUUUCUCAUAAGCUAUCAUGAAUAACUUAUGAAAAUAAGCUCAAAACAGUUUAUGGUAGGUCAUAAGCUGUUUGCAUAAGCUCUCCCAAACACUGACAUAAACGCUUAUGCUAUCAGAUAAGCUCUUUUAAACAGGGCCUUGUUCUAGUAUAUUUUAAGUUUUUUUUUUUGUUACAAGAGGAAAAUAAAAAUAGUAUAUUUUAAGCUGUUAACCAAAAACAUUUCGAUCUUUUUACGCAUAUUCUCAAAAGUUUAAUUAUGAGUCACACUUUAAAUAGGUUAUGGGGUUAGAUUAAACUUUCAAGAAGAUCAAUUCAAAAAAUGUGACAGAUAAAAAGUUAGAUUUAAGCCUGAAAAUUUUAAACAAGACAUACCUAUUUAUGCAAAAUUCAAUCAGAGCUAGCCAAUUUCCACCCUAGUUCUAAGGCUUUGAGAACUAGGUUAAUUUGUUUUAUUUUGCAAGUCAAGCAAGGCUAAUUUUUAUUUUUGGUAACACGGAGGGACAUGGCCCUGAAAGGCUAAAUUAUUUUGAUUAUUUUAACUUACGGUAGUUUGGGAGACGAGUUUUUGAAAAUACAAGCUAUGAACUGAAUAAAAUAGCAUAAAUAUAAUACACUAAUAAUUACUUUAUUAUCAUAAAUGUCAUAUACUUCUCUUAAUUUUAAAGUAAAAAGAUUUUCCGAUGAAUAAGAAAAAAGUAAAAAAAUGUUACUCCCUCCGUUACUAAUUAUAAGACUUAAUUUUAAAAUUUUCUAGUUCCUAAAUAUAAGACCUUUAACAAUAAUUUAGCAAAAAGUAUUCUACUCUUCCAUAUAUAACCUUUACAUUAAUGGUGUGUUUUCAAUUUCAAAGUUUUAAUUACCACCUACCAUUUAUUAGUGAGAGAAAAUAACAAAGGGUAAAUAUGGAAGAAUGUAUGCAUUUUUAAAAAACCAACACACUAAUUAGACACAUUUAAUGUUUUCUUAAUAAGCGCAAUUUUUUGUAUUAGGUCUUAUAAUUAGGAACUGAGAGGGAAUAUUCCCUUCCCUCCAAAUACCAUCUCCCAACUACCCCAUAGACUUGGGGCAAAAAUGAUGUAGAACAUGAUUACUCUUGGUCGGAACACUGCCAUUAAUUUCGUUCAUGAGUGUACCGACAAGAAAUGCUAUAGAUUCUACAACCCACACGGGACAACUGAAUAUUAUACAUAGCUUGUUACAUCUAUGAAUACAAUGAAGCUAGAUAAAACUGCCCAAAAAAAAACAUAUAUACAUUCAAAAUGAUUGGCAAGUCCUCGCCAAUAAAGCAAAAAGAAAUCUAGGUGGAGAUUUAGAAUGAAUCAAAACUAGAUACGUGGUAAAUCUAAAAAAUUACAACAAAAAUAGACCCCUAUGAUUCCCCCAAUGUGUACAAAUUUACUGUGUAACAUGACCUAAUACUACUAUCAAUAUCAUAGAGCCCAAGACAUGUCAAAUUAGAGUGCCUCUUGAGCAGAUAAGGAUAUUUAAUGAAGUGAAAAUGUCAACCAAGAAGCCCCAGUUCAGAGGCCAACCCACUUCACCCAUCUGAAAAUCCGACCAACUCCUAAGGGCAAUUCGUAGUCACUGGCAACAGCAGGCUCUCUUUUAGCAACCUCAGAUUCGGACCAAACGUAUACCCCACGUUCCUGCCGACCGCCAGGUACAGUAUUAUCCAGGAUAAAAGCAACAAGAAACGCUAUCACCAUGUGUAGUGAAAGAAGCGUGUUCAAGACAUAGUUCAACUGCAAAAGGAACAAAUUAACUAGUGUUCUUUCAGAAAAACAAGAAAUGUAGACAUCAUUCAAGGGCUUAAAUAACAAGGGAACCACAUAAUUAAAGCUAAUUCUGCAAAAAUAUUCAAGAUAUCCUAUACAUGCUAGUCAAAACUAUGCAGCAGCAGUAGGUCAUAUCCGACUACACUAGAAGUGGGGCAAUGAUGAAGUGGCCCUUUGUAAGUUACAUCACUAGCUAGCAGUGAGAUAUUAUGAUGCCGGCCCGGGAGCAGUAGAUAUUCCCAAUAUUACUAAAGUUUAGGAGAGACAAUGACUGAUAACAAAGUUAUAUGUAAAAGUAGGGACCAAAACUAUAAAAUUAGAUGUUAGGUACUAUAAUGAAAUCUGGCUGUAAAAUGAGGGAUUAAAACCUUAUUUAAGUCUAUUCAAUAAUAUAGUUUUGUCAGCAGAACUCACCCAAGAGAUGAAAGUGGCCUUUAUCCUUUCUAAACAACCUUAAAGUAGGUAACAAAUUGAUAGCAUUUUUUGACAUGAGCAAAUUCAAGCACAAGAUUCAUGAUAGUAAAUAAGACAUGACACAACGACCUACCCCUCCAUAUUUGCAGUGGAAAGGCCCGUGAGAAGCUACAAUGUAGGGCUGAAAGUAACUAGGCACAGACAAGUUGGAAUUUGGAGAGAUGUCGUAUUGUUGAAAGUAAGCAGGCACCGAAAGAGAGAAGAACAAUGAUAACCCAACUAUGAUGAUAUUGCGAGAGCUUCCAGCCUCACUGUAGCGUAGAUUUGACAAGCCCAAAGCUGUGAGCAUUGCCCACAUAAAGCAAAGGAGACCAGCAACCAUGACUUCAGGAAUUGAAGCAAUGAACCCUCCAACCUUACCUGUUGAAUGGCAUAAACAUAAUUAAACAUGGAUAAAUUUGCAAAUAUGUGUACAAUCACUGGGAAAGUAUCUCAGAAGCUCCAUACCACUUUUAUCACAGACACUGUGAUAGGUAACUGGGGUUAGCUUGUUAGUGGUUAAGUGGGGUCAGUAGUUUGUUAGUUAGUUAGAGGGUUAAGAGGCAUGUUUUCUAUAAAUAAGUGUGAUUAGAGAGCAUUAGGUUAUCUUGGUAUUCAGUUAGGAAUUGGGUUUAGAGAGAGAAGUGGUUCUCUUUCUAGGGUUAGAGAGGGUGUUUGGCAUCUCUCUCAUGUAUCUUUCCCCUAAUCCCCAAUUGGGAAUUAGGGUUCUAUCAAUAAACUACUGCUGAUUUUCUGAGUUCUAUCACACUGUUUUCCUUAGAAUUAGAAUUUAUGCAAUGCUAUUAACAAUACUGCUUUAGGGCAUUCUGAAUUAACAGAAAAAUUUAAGGCAAGAUCUUGGAAGAUAGAUCACUCUCAAUCAUUAGUUAUAAAAGGCUUAUACCCAGUAGUUUUUAAGUAGGUAGGUCAAAGUAGUGGAAAAUUUCUCCCACAAGCAUUCCUCCAGUAGUUCAUAGAAUUAAAUCAAAGGUCCAUAAACUGUGAUAAUUGUUUUCACAUUUUUCUAUUUGGUCAACAUCAUAUAAUGAAUAUUUCAAUCUACAUAAUUGCUCAUUUCCUUCCUAACAUUUUGUAAGUUUCGGGCUUAAAGACCAGAUUAUUCAGUAGCAUUAUUAGAGCACUGUUAAAUGCAAUAUAAAACUGCUAGAGUUUUAGUCUUGAAUCAUAUAUAGGUAAUAAGUACACGUGUUUUUCUAAAAUGCAGGUAUGGAGAUAGGUGCUCCUAACUAAAGUAACAUUCCUAAUGUAAUCCCUAAAUGGUAUCACAAUUGUGGUUAUAUAUGAAUCUCGAACAUUCUACAUUAGAUUUGACUUCCUCCCACGGUCUCUCAAGCUAAAUAUUCACAAUAACCUAAAAGAAUUUCACACUAGUAUAUAAUUUGACAUAUAUUCAAAUAUUUAGUACUAAGAAGACUUGGACCACAAAAACUAUAGCCCUUUGUUUUGGAAAUUAUUGAUCAAGUACAUAUUGCAGUAACCAUUUGUUUGGACAAGAACUGACAGGACUAAAAAUUAAGAACUCAGUUGAGUGUAACAAUAAAUGAAAUUAAUGAAGGAUUUGUUACUCAAUUACUUCCUCUCAUUCUUCAGGCAGCAUGAUUUCAAAAAAUUAUGCUUGCAAACGUAACAUGCUAAGCAAUAGGCCUAAUUGCCACAGACCAGCAACAUGAAAUUUUAAUGUCAUUGUGGAACCAAGGAAACCAAGAAAUUGCAUGAUAAAUAAUGCCACAAACUGCAAGAGCCCCUUAUGAGAAAUAUCAACAAUGCAUACAAUCCAAAUGGCUUUUCGGUUAUCAUCCCAAUAACUUGUUGCUCAUAUAGUAACUAGUAAGUGUAUUUCCAGUGAAGGUUAGAUCCAUCCAAGAACAAAGAGAUAAUAAAUACUUACCCACAAGAGACAACACUAUCAGAAAGCAUGCACCCAGUUGAACUGCCCUGCGGCUUCCCAUUUUAGUCACCGCAAUUGUGUGAACAUUUUCAGUUAAAGUUGUAGACCCAGUUCCAGUUCCCCAGAGACCAGCCAAGACACUAGAAAGACCUUCCAAACCAAUUCCUCGACUAAGAACUCCUGGAGUUGGAGGUCUGGAUGCUACCAAUAAUGAAGAUGCAUGGUAUGACCCAACCUACAAUGUUUUAAAAUGAAGUCACAAAUAGGCUUGGGUGAACAGCAUAUGCAAGUUCCUUAAUUCUGAAUCAAACCCAUCGGUUUUAUUAAACACAUUAUUUAUGUAGGCCCAAAUAGUAAUUUUCCAUCAAAGAACAUCGUACAAAGACGGCACAAGGACUCAGUAGUUAAUUAGUUUCUCUACAGUAACACAAGCAAGUUAAAUUAUCAGCAUACUAAGACCCAAGAUAAAUAAAUUACAACAACCAAAUAGAAAUGGAAUAAAACUAACCGAAUCCACAGAUGAGAUUAAGGAAACCACACACAUUACAAGAGACAUUUUCCAGUUGAAGAGAGGGGCACCCCAUUGUAGUGGAUAUGGAAAUCUAAACCAUGGAGAGGAUUUCAAUGCCUGACUAGUAUCCACCCGACAAUGGAUCAUCCUUGAAAAAUGCUUUCUGCAGUGCUCUGAAACCAUAUUGGAUGCAGGUACAUUUAUAUCACAUCCUUUGUGACUGUAUAUUCCUGCUUCAGUCAGCAAGAAAGCAAAUGCCCAUGUAAUUGCUAGACCCAAAGGAACCUGGCAGUUAGGUGAAGAAAACAGAAAACCAGUCAUUACACCAAUACAAAUUUUAUUGCACAACUGAAAACUUAGAAAGAUCAUAACAUUCAACUUACCGCAUAUACUAGAAAUAUGCGAUGUCCAAGAACCGAUAUCUUGCGAAGAUACUGUAGAAAAGCAAGAAAUAACAGAUUACAAGUUUUAGCACAGUGCAACAACCAAUCCAAUAUACACCCUGGACUUUCUAAAAAAAAUUAUAUAAAUGAAUAUUCAAAAAAUAGUAAUAAGGUCCAUGGAACAAACUUACAAGUGAAAAAACAAUGACCACUAAUAUCUGUACUGCACCGAUCUCAAUACAUGUACCCACUAAUGGAAAACCAUAACUGUAAAACGAAAGUCCAACUGCAGCAAUAGUCGGGGCUACAACAACUGGAUUGAUCAAUCUGAAGGAAAAACAUAAAAUGGGGUCAUUAUCAGGUAAAAACUGAACAGAAAAAGAUAUGAAAUGUGACCUUUUUAUAUCAGAAAAUCCUGGCACUUAUUUAAAUCAUGAGAGAAGGAAAAGGACAAAGUUCCACGUUGCACCCGAAAAAAAGGGGAGGGGAGUGAUAUAUAUGAGUGGGAAGGAACCAUGUGGAAUUAAAAUUCAAACAAGCUAUACGCAACCCUUUGAAACAUGGAGCAUUUCCAUGGAAGAAUGAUAAGUCUCUUAAUUAUAAAAACUAAAAUUAUGAGUACUCUAACCUAACUGUUGCGAUAUGUGUUUUGUUGUAUGAUAUCUUGAGAUAAUUCUAUUAGGAUUAUUAUCUACCGUUCUGUUAAGACAGUUCUCUUAGGAUUAUUACCCUUCUCUAUCUUUUUGUUAGUUUGCUGGCUUUAGUUUAACCAAGACCAGGAAAUCUUAUCUAUAGUAUCUCAUAUAUUUCCCCUAGAAUAAAGCAACGUCUUCCCUCUCUUUUGAUUUUCUUUAGAAUAAUGUAUCCAUCAUAAGAUGCCAAAUGAUGUUUAUAAUCCAUUAAAUAUAAUCAACAACUACAAAAAAAAUUGUGAAUAAUUUUUCCACUGUAAUAUUUUUGGUCAAGUUCCACCACUGCCUCAAUGAUUCUUUUGCUUUCAUUUCUCAACAUUUAACAUUACCCAUUGCCUCAAUCCUUAAAAUUUUAAAAUAAAUUAUGUUUGAUGGAAGAACGAAGCAUGUACAGUAAAAACUAUUGAUUUAAAAAAAAGAGUUGAAACCGGCUUAAAAGGACUUUAGACUAAUGGAACAAUUUAUUUCUUCUACUUUUUCUAUAUUGGAACACAUGAAAGAAAUUUUAACUACUUUCAACGUUUAUCCAAACAUACCCUCAAGAAUAAACAAGUAGAGAAAAUCUUAAAAUCAUACCUUACUAAAAGCGACAUAAGUCCAGAAUAUCCAAGUAAAGCUUGAAAAGCUGAUCCAAUAAUUAUAGCUCCCUGCAGCUCCUUCAUUAUAUGCCUGAAUUUCUGCAUAUUGAGGAAGAAAGCCUUAUCAGCUGUCUAGGUUUCACUUAUUCCAUCAGAAAAUUCAAAAUAACCACAUAUCACUCCAGACCAUUUGAGCAAUUCUUGCAUGAGCACUUAUGCACUAGGCGCAACCAAUCCAAAAACCCAAAAUGCACUAAAAUAAUACUCCCUCCAGUCCUUUUUAUAAGAAAAACUUGGACAAAAUCACACAAACCAAGGAAACUAAUAUUUUUUAUAAAAUUAACUACUAUGCUUAAUUUCAAUGAUGUUUUUUUCCUUUUUACAAGAACAAUCAUGCUAAUUACCAUAAAUGUUGAUCAUACCUAUUGGGUGCUUGCAAUUUCCCUCCAUAUUUUUGUAUUGGGAAUAAGUCCCUUUGCAUUGGUAUUGAUUAUUUGACUUAAUUUUAUAAGAGUGUUUCUUAUAAAAAGGACCAAGAAAAAUCUCCAAAGUGUUUCUUAUAAAAAGGACCGGAGGGAGUAAUAAAAAGCACAUCAAAUAUCAUGAAGUUAUUUUUAUAUUAUCUCGCACUUUUGAUUGGUUGUGCUUAAUUAGCACACUGCUCAAAUAAGAAAUCUUCGAAUAACUAAAUAGAAACUAUUAGAAUUUUGUUAGGUGCAACGGUAAGAGAUACAUACAUUUUCUUUUAAUGCUUGAAACUCAGGGGAGUUGAUAAUAGCCAGAGCCGGCGCCAAAUAAACGAAAGAAGGGCCUUGUAUUAAGGGCAACCUGGACCCAAAAUUUAUAUGCAAGAGUGUAGUCACCCCCGAGACAAAGAGCACGGUCGAUACCACCAUAGCAGUUUCCUCCUACAUUCACUAACACAUCAGAUAACAGCACUACCACAACAACUUCACCAUUACAAAAAAAAAAAAAAUCGAAAACCACUCACAUGAGUUCCUCCCAUGGCAGGAACAAUAACAAGUGGAAUGAGAAUCAACGAACCUAACAUCGAAACGUAAUGCUGCAUACCAUACACACCAAUGGGAACUACAAUAACCCACAUAAAAAUAACAAUAAAAACCAACAUCAAAAUUUCAACUAUAUGAAAAAAGGGGGAAAGUGAAACCACUUUAACUUGAAAUUCCAGAACAGUGAUACCUAAACCAGGUGAAUCUCUGAGCUCGUACUUCAUAUGCAAGUGCCUGGACGCAAACCCUUCAUCAUCCACCGUUAAACCUUCCACCAAUUCCUCAUGCCUCGCCGUCCUCCGCGGCUGCGACGGCUCCUCCACCACCGCCGCCGCCGGAGUUGCCUGGCCGUUGGUGCUGGGAACGCCGUCAGAAUCCCUCCGCUUCUUUACACUCUGGUCCUUAGCGGGAACCGGAACCUUUUGGCCCUGUGCGACUCCGUUUGGGGGCGGGCGAACCCGACCCAUUUCAAGAUCAGGGACGGGUUGGGAUUCUCUGGGCUUGGGCUGAGGUCCGGUUAUCUGGCCGGAAUGAGCGGCAUUGGUCUCACCGGAGAAUUUGGGCCUGAAGCCGGUUUUCUUGGCCCAGGAAGAAGGCGGCAUUGCCGGUGGUGAAGGACUCGGGCGGUGGCGGUUGUCGGACAUGACGGGAAGAAGCUACCGGCGCAUUGGUUGCAGAUCCGGUGAUGUGACAAUGCAGAAGGAGGAACGAAAGGGUUAGGGUUUUCCAGUGAAGGAAGAGAGAAAGUUGGGAGUGGAAUUCAACUUGUUCACCUGAGAAGCAAGUUGAGUUGGGUGUUGAGACUUGAGAGUGUGGAUGGAACUACAACAGAGUUAGUAGAUAUUUGUAUCUUUUUCUUCUUUGUGUUUCUUUUUUUGAGUCUUGGUCUUUCCGUGGACAAAAGGUGGAGCUGAAAAAUGAUUCAUGCAUUUGGAUUGAGAACAUGAAAUUAUACUUUAGUCUUUGAGAGCAGGAAAAGAAAUAAAGAUCGGAGAACUUGCGGUGGCCCGGUCAAGGGUUGGGUCAUAGGACUUAGUAACUCUACGAUGACACUCCGACGCUCAAGUUAGAAUGUGGUUUAAAAGAUUCAGAAAUGAGAUCAAUAAUGUGAACUUAACUCUAUGCCUUGACUUUUAUAGAGUUUGAAAUAGUGCGGUUUGAGGCGGUCAUGAGUGUUUAGAACAUCCUCGAGCUCUGUGCCUUUAUCUUGGUUGAUGGUCCAUAAUUACUUAGCUAUGUGAACUAAUCUUUUUUAAGGAUUGAAACAUUUUGGGAUUGUUUGGUUGGAGGAGAAAGGAGGGGAGGGGAGGGAUUUUUAAAAUCUGAUUUUGUUUGGUUCAAACUUUAGGAGGGGAGGGGAGGGAAAUGGAGGGGAGCAAAAUCCCUCCCACCUUAGUUUUUUGUUCCCCUCAAAAGUGGGGAAAUUAGGAGGGGAAAUAAAAUUCGGAUAAAAAUAACCCUGCACGAAUUUAAAAAUUCCAAUUUUUUAUCCUAUGGUUUCCUUUCUUUUAUCCAACAGCCGCUGCCCCCCUCUCUGGUCUCUCUCCUCCGCCGCUGCUGCCCCCUCUCUGGUCUCUCUCUCAGCUGUCGUCGUCGCCUCCUUCUCAGAGCUUGCAAUGACGGUUUUUGUGCUUCAAGGGUGACUAUCGUCUGGUUUGGGUUGUGAACUUGGCUGGUUUUCUUUCCCUCUUGUGCCUUGUUUAUCCCCUGUUUUCUCGUCCCUGUUUUGUCUUGUUUUCUUAAUUCUGUACCUUUUUGUGUUUUGCUUGUUUUUUCGUUUUUUCUAUGUUCCCUCUGGGAGGUACUGUUACUUGAUGAUACAAUUUUUUUCCUAACGUUAAUGAUAUAGAAAUAGAAACGAUAAAUAUAAUACAUUUUUUGAAUGUGAAACUCAUUGGAAUAAAAAAUUAUUAGCGAUUAAUAUAAUACAUUUUUUAAUACAUUUUUUGAGAGGACAAUUUAAAGAGAUAUAAUAUUGUUUGUUUUUUUUACGGUAAGAUACAAUUAUUGUUAUUUUAUAAUUGUUAUGUUUUUUAUGUGAUUUUUUCUCACAUCAGCAGAUUUUAUAAAAAAUUAAAUAAUUAGUUAAUACAAAAAGGGUGUAAAAGUAAUUUACUUAGAAAAUUUCUCCUUUUUUAAUAAGUAAACAAUCAUUUUCCCUCCCCUCCCUUCCUUGAACCAAACAAGAUAGCUAAUUAAAACUCCUCCCCUCCCUUCCCCUCCCCUCCCCUCCCCUCCUAAAAUCUCUUCCCUCCCCUCCCCUCCUUUAAACCAAACAGUAGCUUUGUCUCUAUUUGAUGCGAGCUUCCUUGCUCCACCAAUCUUGUGUCCAUUCGGUAGAGGACAAGAAGUGCGACACUAAAUGAGGCCAAAAGAUUUCAUUUAUCAUCCACUGAGACAAUCUUAUUCAGUCAGGUGUGACAUUUAUAGACAACAAAACUCUCGAUAUCAAGUAUUUAACACAAAUGCAUUCAUGUAUGCUCGAACACAAGACUUCUAUUAAUUUAGAACAACCACGUCAAUGUUAGAAGCUUAGCGGCAUAGAAACUUGGAACCUUAUAUGUGACAUGACAAUGUCAAGUGAAUAUCCGGUCCUAUCCGGCCAGAUUAACUAUCACACAGAAAAAUUAGUUAUCUUUUAUUUUUGGUUGUUCUCCCAGCACGUGUCUUCACCUUGGCAUCUCCCUCCAACUUAAGUACAAUCAGAGAGAUAUGGAAGCAGAGGCAACCAACCAACCAUAUAACACUAACAAAAAAAAAAACAGCAAGUCAUAAACAGUGACAGCAUGGUUCUGGUCUUACAACCUUGUUCUUCUUCCGUCAGCGUCCUCCACCAUGAUCACCACCACCACCACCACCACCACCACCCCACCCGCAACGCCGUCGUUCGAUGCAGCCUGCAGGAGAUAACAGAGGAGCUAAGUAGCUCGAACCUCAUCCAUUUCCCUCCACUGAAAACGGCGAAGAGGGUGGUGCUGGUGAGGCACGGCCAGAGCACGUGGAAUGCCGAGGGGAGGAUACAAGGAAGUUCCGAUUUCUCCGUUCUCACCAAGAAAGGAGAGUCUCAGGCUGAAACUUCACGCCAAAUGCUCUUCGAUGAUAACUUCGAUGUCUGCUUCUCCAGGUUAGUUCUAUCUUCUCUGAAACCUUGAAUCAUCUUCCUUUGCUUUUUCUACUUUCUGUGACGAUUGGGAUUUUCUGCUGUUUUUUUGUUCAUUUCCUGCACAAAAGUCCUCUGGCACGGUCUAAGAGAACAGCUGAAAUCAUAUGGGGACCUCGCCCUGUACCAAUCAUCCCCGAAUUCGAGUUGCGGGAAAUCGAUUUGUACUCCUUUCAGGUAAUGCUUUUAUUGCUUUAGCUUUGUGAAUUUGGUUACUCUCUUAUAACACUCAUUUGUGAUCAAAUACACUAGGAUUGAGCUCAUGUGAAUAUAAUGUGUAAGAAAAUUAAUUGCUUAGAUUUUAACUUUAGAAGUUUCUGUUCCUGUUGAAGCUGUUUUAUAUUACAGAUUCAAUAAUUGAUUUUUCAACAAAUGGUUAUUCUUGCAAUUUAUCCUCUAAAUUAGGCUUUCCCAUUAGCUGGGUUUGGCUAUAUGAAUACAAUGAUGAGCACACAUAUAUACCAUUUAUCUUUUUAGUAUUUUUCUGUAACUCUCUAUCCCUAGCUCAGAGUUUCAAGUUGCGGACAAAUGUGGCCGCAAUUGCAGUCACAAUGCCGAUGAGGGGGCCUAAGAUGCUCUGCGUUGUGGCUGCAAUUGCAAUUGCGAGCUGCAAUUUAAAACCCUGCCCUGGUUAUUGUGCUAUCUUCUUUCGGAUUAACUCUCAUUAGCAGCUAUUGGUCUAUACUAUAUAAUAAAUUACCAAGUUAUUAGUAAAAUGUAUUCUCUUGAUCUUUUAAUUAGCAUUAUAACUUUAUUAAUUACAUGUUGAGAACUUGAAUCUGAUUGAUUAAAUUAAUCCUUGAGGAGCUAAAUUGAUUAUAUUAUCUUAAUAUCUUGUUUAUGGAUUAUUUGUGCUUUGGUGUGACAGAACUUGUUGUUCUUGUUGCUGGAUUUUAGGGUCUACUGAAGCAUGAGGGACAAGAGAGAUAUGGUCCUGCUUUUCGUCAAUGGCAGGUGGAUGCCUCAAAUUUCAUCAUUGAUGGUCAUUAUCCAGUGAGAGAGUUGUGGGAGCGUGCUCGAAGCUCCUGGACUAAAAUCCUAGCUCAUGAUAGCAGGUCUGUUCUUGUGGUUGCUCACAAUGCUGUUAAUCAGGCUCUUGUUGCCACAGCAAUUGGUACCGGUUUCUCUCUCUAAGGAAAUUUAGAUGAUGAAAAAGGCUGAAAUUUUGUGAAUUUGAAUAAUGUGCUCAUAUUUUCUUCCAUUGAAAAUGAUCAGGUUUGGGAUCAGAGUAUUUCAGAGUUUUACUUCAGAGCAAUUGUGGUGUAAGUGUGCUGGAUUUCAACCCAAGACCCGAGGGUGGACCUCCACAUAUUUGCCUUAACCGCUUAAAUCAGGUAUAUAGUACCUUAACUUGGUGCAACGCAACAAAGCUGACUAUCUGAAUCUGGAUGUCGGAGGCUUUGUUAUUCCUGUGACAAAGCUUCAGAUUAUAAGCUGAUGUGACAUUCCGCACUUUUAUAUUGUGUUAUUCCCUCUUUGUAAAACAUAUUAUUUAACAUUUUUCACAACGAGCAAUGUGCUCAACAGUUCAGGCUGUCCUUUACAUAAAAUUGAACUAUUAUUGCAGACACCUGGUUCACCUGUUGCUGGUGGAAAAUCUGGAGGUAGAGAGUCAAGUAAGCGGAUCGUACUGGUUUGUAAUGGAUCUACACAAGGAAAUACAGAGGUAUGGAGCAAUAAUUAGAAUGUAAUUGAACAGAUAUAACUGGUCGAAGGAUCAUCAGCAAACAUUAUAAUACCUGAGUUUAUUGUCUAUUGCAUUUCUGCAGCUUAUAUGCAAAAGGAUACUAUGUCUCUCGUAAGCCAUUUCUGUAGAAAAUUCUAGUCUGAGUAAUGAACUCUUGCAUUCGUGCUAGUAUAAGAUAAUAGACCCAUAUACUCCCUACCUUAAAGUUUUGUAUCAAGAUGUUAAGUUUCUUAUUGCAGUCUCAUUAUUUUUCUUUUGGUCAAAAUUGCUGUGUUAUUUGUAGAUCAGUAAUAUAGAUCUUCCUACUUUUCGGACCUUAGACCCCGACAAAUGGUAUCAAAGCUGAUGAUUUGGCUGUCAAAUAAAUGGAAACAUAUAUUAGUGUAGUUUUCACCUUCAACCGAUGUUGUAAAAACAUUAGACAACACUUGGGCCUGUCUCUUGAUUGAUAACCUUGUUUUCUUAUAGAGGUUUCCCUAGCCUUGUGAGAAAUCAAGUCACACAUUGAUUUGGAAGGAAUGAUGGCCCAGUAAUUAGAUCUUCCUGGUUCGGUGAUCUCCUAAACCCCCAGUGAUUUCUUUCCUAAUACUAGUAUCAGAAUACGUUCCUAGAGACCUCAAGCAAUAGUAGUUUUCUAAUAACUCUUUCUAACAUCCAUUGCAAAGCGUAAAAUGCAUUUUUUAUUACAAUGGGAAGUAUGUUUGAAAGUGAUCAGAGAAAUAGAACUGUAAAUUUAUGGAAGUGACUGUCACUAUGGAAGUAUGGAUUUUUACUAAAACAUUGUUAAUAUGGCAGGGAUUCUUAAGUUGUGUUUCCCUGUUUCUACUUUUUUCUUAUUUUAUCAAAAUCAUUAAUGCUCUUAAAUUUGCACUGGGAUGGACUAUUUUAGAUAUAAAACCAUUCGUGUUCUUUCAAUCUAUAGUUUAAGCUUUUAAGAUAGUUGAUUUAAGAUAUGGUAUCAAAGCUGCUAUGAUCAUGCAGUUCCAUGUUAACCCCACUCUUCUGAGUAUAUUUAAAUUUCAACAUAAGGUAGGGUGGCCCUAUGCAUUAUCUUGUGUGAGGGGGCAUGUUAGAUAUAAAACCACUCAUAUGCUUUAACCCAACAAAUUAAGCUUUUUGGAUAGUUGGUUUAUGACAAAAGGCUCCUUUAAGUUCUAUUCCAAAUUCAUUUCUUUUUGUCAGGUUUCUAAACAAACUACCUUCUGUUGACAGAAUGGUUUUCCUUUUGCUGCUGAUCAACCGAUGAACAUGCUUGGUGUUAUACAGGUAGUUCAUCCAGUUAUCACAAAUAGUGAGGCAAAGUUAUUUCAUCUGACCUUUUGCAUGUGUAACAGUCCCAGAAAUCUGCAGAGCUACUUCUUGACUUGAAUGUGAAUUCCAUAAUCAGUAGUCCUAACAAAGCUUCUGUUGAGACAGCCACGGCCAUCUCCAAGGUAAGCUCACUUUUGGUACUUGUUAGUUCCAUCAUGCUAAACACUUAGUUCUAUAAUGCAAAUUCCUAUAUCCAAUCUAUUAACACCAAGUCUUUGCAUCUACUUACCAAUAGGUUCUGCUUUUGAUACACAUGUUGAGGUGCAUUCCUUUCUAUUUCUGUUCAUUGUUGUUCUACUCUAAUGAAACCUUAGACAUGAUUUUAGGUACAAGAAGCUGCUGAUUGCUUAGGUGCUGACUGUGUGCCACGCUAUGUUGAGACAAAGCAGAUGGAGAACCUUGAUGUUGAAACGAUCUUUAAACAAUCCAAAUCGGCAAGUAACUUAUACAGUAGAUGUGCUUGUAUGUGAAAGCAUGACCGGUCAUUGAUAGACUAUUUGAUUUUAGGAAUGAGUACUUCUAGUUGAUGGUAUAUUUCACACACUGGGAUGAUCUUGACAGAGCAAUGACCAUAAGAAUUUAUCAAAUACCUAUUGAAGAUAUAGAUAAAAAGCUUAAGCAGUAUUGGAAUGUGGAAAAUAAUUGUGACCAUCUCAAUGUACUAAGAAGUAUGUAAACUAGGAAAAGGUUUUAGUAAGUGUUUGUCACCAAACACUACUUUUGGUCCUUAUAGUUGUCUCUAGCUUUGAUCUCUGUCUUUCUAGUAUUCCUAAACAAAAGAUUUGAUUGACGAUUUAUGUGUGAAUAUCAGUGUGUUCUGUCUAAUUUUUUCUGUAUUUAUUGCAGGUUGUAUCCAAUUUUCCACCAUUUCAGCCUGGGUGGUUAAAUAGAGUUGAGGAUGGAUUUAGAACAGCAUUAUGGGACCAAUCUGGAAAAGCCUGGGAAUCCCUGUUGGGUGAAAUACGUGAUGAGUCUAUGUCAGGAGAUGUUGUAGUUGCAGUUGGUCAUCCUAUGAUCCACAUAGCAGUAAUGACACACUGUCUUAAUUUGACCAAAGACUGGUUGGGAUCGUUCCAUCUUGAUGCUGGGAGCGUGAGUGUCAUUGACUUCCCUGAUGGACCUAAGGGAAGAGGUGUCAUCAGGUGCAUAAAUUAUACUGCACACUUGGGGAGAUGGUCCAUCCCUAUUACAAGACCAACAGAGGAUGUUGAAGAAUUCUAACUGUAAAUUUAUUAUUUUAAAAGUAACUUAAAAUGACACCCAGCACCAAAUUUAUAGAGCUACAGAGGUUCAACAUGAUCAUGGCUGUUAAAAUUUUAGGGCAUGAAAGUAGAAAUGAAAUCUUAGUCAGGGGAUAUGAUGUGACCUUAGGGUGAUGGGAAUGAGUCAGAUUAAUUCGUGCAUAAACUGGUUAUUCUACCCAUUUGAAAGGUGUACACCACGAGGCAUUGGAAACAACUAGAGUAACUUCUGGAUAGCAGUUCUUUGUAGAAGCUACUCUUGCUAUUUCCUUUGCCUCCUGGUGUAAAAUCCUUAUGUUCCUUCACCCUUGGUCUUCCUUUCAACUGAAUUAUUUUCUCAUAACAAACGAGGCAUAAGUUUCUAUUAAUAAGAAAUGGAUCUUCACCAAGCUUGCAAUAGGCAGUACAAAGUCCCAUCUAAAGAUGAUGUUUCUUAAUUGUCUUUCAAACAAAGAUUCAUCAGUUAUUCAGAUUUAGUAGCCCAUUGCAGUUCUUCACUCAUUUUUUCUUUUAGGAAAGUGACUUGUAAGACUAAUCAAGAAGCUAUGGCAGUGUUUUCCAUCAAAUGAUUUCUCAAGGUUCGAAUUUGUAUUCUCAUCCUUAGCUUACUUACUAUGGACACCUUGUUGGUAUAUACAUGCUAAAGUAGAUGAUAUGUCAUUAUAAUUUUGAUUAUUAAUAAUUAUACUAAGAUUUUGAUUGGAUUAGCUUUUAGACUAUGAAAGCUUCUCUAACUUAUAAAAGAAUACUUAGUAGUUAAUAAAAGAAUUGAUUAAAGAACUUUGGUGGAAAAUUGAGAUGUAGUAGUUUUUUUGGUACAUUUUAAUUGAUACACUAAAUUAUUAUUAGAAAAUUCAGAGUCAUUGCAGUAUAAUUUUUGUAAAUACUUGUUAAAAAAAUUAUCCAAAUUCAUCAUAAUAAGAAUAUGAAAUUAAACUUAAGAGUGCCUACAAAAGCCACCACUCCAAUUGGAUGAGCAGGGAAUUUCUAAAGUACAAAUAAAAAGAAGGAAGUUUUAGUAGAGGGUUUUCGUCCAUUGACUUCGUGUCUAUGGUUUUUAUAUUACUAUCAUUUUUCUAUCCUCUAUUUGUACCUUGAACUAUUUUAGCAAAAGAAAGGCAAGGGCCAAAUGAGGUGGUUGUAGGAUCAUGACACCAACUGUGACAACUGCUUAAUUUCUUGUCAUGAUUACCAAUCGCUAGUUACCAUAAAAAAAUAUAAAUAAAGCCUAUUGUUUGCAUAUGCAAACAAAUGUGCUAUGAAAUUUAAUUUUUUUUUAAAAAGUCACUGUUCUGACUCUCUUCAUUAGUUUACAACUCAUUUGGUAUUAUUGAUUUGAUAUCCAUUUAUCAGUUUUUCUCCCAAUUCUUCUAACAAAUCAUAGCUAGGACCCAAAUCAUGUUGGAAAUAUCCUUCUGGCAAACUUCUAGCUUAAGAAAAUGCUUAACAGUUAGCAUUACCACUUGAAGCAGAAAAAUUAAAGUUUGCUUCUUUCUGUGAGACAUCAUAUAUAAAUAAAUUAACAAAUAUUAAGUAAGGUAUGGAUAUAUCUACUAGCAGGGUUAGUUUUUUUUUAAAAGGGUAUCACAGCUGAUAAGACUAAUCACUUCGAGAUUAAAUGAUCACAUUAGGUGGUUAGAUCAUUCUUUAUACACAUCAACUAAAUAUCAAACCCGAGUCUAAAUCGUUAAAUAACUCCCAAUAUUCCUAAUAAUAGCUACGUACCACCUUGCAUCUUCUUCAAGUUUUUAUAUAACAUAAAGUUUCAAUACCCUAAAAUAGAAUUUAUUUUGUUGAUUAAAAAAUGUAAGGAAGAUUUUAGAACUUUUUAUAGUUAAAUCAACUGUAAGUUGGAAUCUUUGGGCACUUGACAGUUGUUUGAUACCUGGAACUGAAACUCACUACCCCAUAAAAUAAAGGAAGAGGCACUACUAUAGAAUUGGCCUUUUGCCACGCCUCAAUUGCCAUGGUUAUAGGCGGAACCGUGGCAAAAGGUCAGUUACCACGGUUAAACAUGGAACCGUGGCUAAAAGAGAUAAUAUUUUAUUAUAUUUUUAGUGCAACCGUGACAAUAGGAAUUUUGAUAGGGAAACACCACAAUCUGGCUCGUACUCUUCAAUUUUUUUCCCUCCCACACACUCCAAAUUUUUUCUGAGGAACCCUAACCCUCAUCUAUUUCCUCUCUUCCUCUCCAUCUCGUUCUCACUCCAAGUAGCUAGUCCUCUUCUCCCUCUCGCUUCGCCGUUCGCCGCUCGCCGCCACGCCGUCACGCCAUCUCCGUUCCGUCACGCCGUCUCCGUUCCGCCACGCUCAGUUCCAUUCAAGCUCUCGGGUGAGUUCCCACUCCAAUUUUUUUACUAUUUUUCUUCCUCCUGGCUCUACUCACUGGCUCUACUCAUCUCGUUCUCAGUUCUCACUCCAAUUUGUCCGUGAGCCGUGACAAUUUACUCUGUCUGUUUUGUUGGUACCGAUUGAGUUCUUUGUCUUGCUGACUCUGUCUUUCGUUUUUCUAAUCUUCCCUUGUUUAGCUUUACUUGUAUAGGUUCUUUAUUAUUUUCUUGCUUUUGUUCCUUUCUCAAUGAUUUGUGGCUGCUUUUACCUGAGUGCCUUGCAUCCUGAGUCAACACUCAUUGUUUUUACUUUUCGCAUACAAUUUUGACUACAUUGUUGGUGGGUUGUUUCUGAGUGGAAGUAGUGGCUAGUUGCGUGAUGUCACUACUAUGAGCACUUGUUCCCCAGGGGUUUGAACUUUGAAUCGUCACUUGCCUGUAAAAGUGAUUCCGUAAGCAAGAAGGGUUUCGAAGAUAAUGGACAAAAUUUCUAUGUUGGAAUGCUGUGACAUGAUGUGGUGAUGAAUUUCUAGUCUGAUAGAUGCGUCAGAGAGAGGGAGGGUAGAGGGAUAGAGAAUCAAUAGAACUAGUUAGUGCUUUGUUACGUUUCUAACUUGUACAUAGUAGAUAAAUCAUCCUUCGUGAGAAGGCAAUUUUGUGGUUCAGCAAGUAAACUUGAUGGGAUUGUUUAUGAGAUGGAGGCUACUUUUUCCAUUUUGUAUCUAUCAUGGAGGCACUUAACCGUAAUCAACCAAGUAAAGAGUACAAUGAAGUAUCGUCUGGAAAUCAAACUGUGUUUUGGGUAAUAAUUGUGCUUGAAAAGACACAUUCAGCUAAGAGCCCGGAAAUUCUCAUGAUUUUGAAUAACAAUUUUAUCAGUAUAGGAAGAGAUGAAGCUGAAGCCUUCAAGGUAGAGAGUACAAUGAAGAGUGCCUUUUGCGGGAGUGGGGCUGUUAAAUAACCUCACCCAGUCCCCAUUGGCUUAGUAUGAUUAGAAAAUGAUGUUCAUUUCAUUUGAAUUGUAUAAAUGAUUUUUUGGUAAAUUAUACUAUCUCUUUGUGACCUUUUUAUCUCAAAAAAAGUUUAAACUUAUGACCUGAUUUAUAACCAGUUUUUCUUUUCUUAG